ensembl:miRNA
CCUGCAGUGCACACUGCUAGGAAUCGUGGCUGAGAUGAACAGCAGGAUUUCAGUCAUUGUUUCUAGUAGUGGGCGCUGCAG